UUCGGGAGUGAAGCUAGCGGCGGACGGGUGAGUAACACGUGGGCAACCUGCCUCAUAGAGGGGAAUAGCCUUCCGAAAGGAAGAUUAAUACCGCAUAAGAUUGUAGCUUCGCAUGAAGUAGCAAUUAAAGGAGCAAUCCGCUAUGAGAUGGGCCCGCGGCGCAUUAGCUAGUUGGUGAGGUAACGGCUCACCAAGGCGACGAUGCGUAGCCGACCUGAGAGGGUGAUCGGCCACAUUGGGACUGAGACACGGCCCAGACUCC
rnacentral:rRNA from 1 species